GAUGAAGAACGUAGCGAAAUGCGAUACGUAAUGUGAAUUGCAGAAUUCAGCGAAUCAUCGAAUCUUUGAACGCAUAUUGCGCUCUCUGGUAUUCCGGAGAGCAUGCUUGUUUGAGUAUCAGUAAACACCUCAACUUCCAUUUCUUUUUUUGAAAUGGGAGUUGGACUUGAGUGAUCCCAACGCUUUUCCUCACCGAAAAGUGGCGGGUUACUUGAAAUGCAGGUGCAGCUGGACUUUUCUCUGAGCUAUAAGCAUAUCUAUUUAGUCUGCCUAAAAAACAGAUUAUUACCUUUGCUGCAGCUAACAUAAAGGAGAUUAGUUCUUGUGCUGACUGAUGCAGGAUUCACAAAGACAGCUUCGGCCGACUUUGUAAACUCGAUCUCAAAUCAAGUAAGACUACCCGCUGAACUUAAGCAUAUCAAUAAGCGGAGGA
rnacentral:misc_RNA from 1 species